rnacentral:rRNA from 1 species
GACAGAGGAUGCAAGCGUUAUCCGGAAUGAUUGGGCGUAAAGCGUCUGUAGGUGGCUUUUUAAGUCCGCCGUCAAAUCCCAGGGCUCAACCCUGGACAGGCGGUGGAAACUACCAAGCUGGAGUACGGUAGGGGCAGAGGGAAUUUCCGGUGGAGCGGUGAAAUGUGUAGAUAUUGGAAAGACCACCGAUGGCGAAGGCACUCUACUGGGCCUGCACUGACGCUCAUGCACGAAAGCGUGGGGAGCAAACAGG